GGACUCAUCCCAGGACCCUGAGUGGAAGGCAGAUGCUUAACAGACUGAGCCACCCCUGCGCCCCUCUUUUGACUUUUUUAACUGAUAAUGCACUUCUUUCAGCAGCUGAGCCUGAAGAGGUUUAAGUGAACAUGUGGGACUUCUGCUUACAGGCGACUGACUCAGCCCCUAGGAACAACUAUUCUGCUCCGUUUCUGGGAGUUUGACAGUAAAGGAGAUGAUCUUCCAUAAUGCAGCUGGGCCUCAUCCAGUCAACAGAAGGUCAAAAGAACAGAAGACUGAGGUUUCCCAAAGAAGAAUUCCAUCUCAAGGCUCGAGUUUCCAGCCUGCUGGCUUUACAAAAAUUUUGCUUACCCGCCCCCUAAUCAUGUGAGCUAAUUUAAAAUCAGUCUUUAUCUUUAUCUAUCAAAUGACAGAUAUUUAGAUAUAGAUAUCCAUCCUAUUGGUUCUUUUCCUUUGGAGGAUAAUAACUGACACAGGAAGGUAUCUUCCCGCCCUGUGAUGUUCCUGUGUGACAUGUGAAACUCUCGACAGCCCCACGGGUGGCCAUUCACUCUGAUACUGUGCAGAUUAUCAUGGGCCAUAGACCUCUGGAGCCACGGUGACUUCCAACAAGAUCAGGCACAUAGCCUGCGCUUUAUAAAUAUUUAAAGGGAUGUUGAAUGCAAUGUGAAGAGGCACUAAACUUCUUUCAUAUGGUUGCUCUCUCUUCCAGUAAUGUCUGCUACAAUCGAUGUACAACUUCUGUUUCCUUUGCCCGGCACACGCGUGUUCUUCCUCUUGGGGACCCGCUGGACCCCGGGAGUUGCGGGGAAACACUGCAGUUGCCAUCUGAGCUGGUGCUCUUGCUGCUCUGCCCUGGUUAGGCCCGAUUCUUCAUCACUGCCUGGCUUAGGCUCCUGGGCUGGGCACAGCAAGGAAGUCUUGUCUUUGGAUUUUCAGGACACCUGGAGUUUCCUUAGACUUCCUUUAUGCUGUCUAACCUCUGCCCACUGCCACCUAGACUCCCGCUCCCAGGUGUUGCCGGUGUCUGAACUUUUAGUUCAGAAUAAAACCAAGCCAUUUUAUUAAUUGUUGCAAAGCCUAGGAUGACAAAUGAGCCCUGAGGCUGAAACCUCUGAGCUGUCUAGAUUUUGACUAAAUCUUUGAACCUGAGAGCAAAUUUAUUUUGGAAAUUGCUGACUUCUGAGAGGAAGAAGGAAUAGCAGAUGAGAUGCUGUAGACCUUAAGACACUACUGAUACUACUAGAGAGUAUCAGUUAAGAUACUCUUAAGACACUACAAUACUCUUAAGAUAUACUUAAGACACUACUGAUACUACUAGAGAUGUCAUCCAAGGGGAAAAGGUAAUGAAACUCUCAAGAUAAGCGUAUUCAGCAAGGAACUGUUUGGAUUAUAGAAGUGUGAUGGAGACAGGAACUGGAAGGUGGCACCAUGUUUAUGAUGUGCCCAUUAUCUGCCAGACAUUGCGAAAUGCAGCGCUCUCCAUCAUCUUAUUUAAUCUUAUAAGAGUCCAGCGUUUUUGCUGUAUUUUAAGAUAAAGAGCUGAAAUUCACGAUAUUUAAAUAAUUCUGCCCCAACUCUUAGAUUUUUAAAUAACAAAGCCAGCAGAAGCAUAUUGGGUUCACCCAACUCCAAAGUGUAUGAUUUUCUCAUACACUUGAGGAUAAGAAACUUAUUUUCUAAACAUAAAUCACAAUAGGCAGUAUCAAUUUAAAGUUUAGCAGAGUUUGAGGCCAUUUCCUUACUGUGAAAUAUCAUGCAUAUUUCCACAGUAACUGGAAAGCAAAUUAGGGAAAGUUCCCUCCCCCCACUUAAUUUUAUCAAACAAAUGAUCUUACAAUUAUAUAAGAAGUUGCCCAUUAUAGUCUAGCCAGUGGCUUGGCUUCUUGUCCAAACCUCACAGUGAAAUAUGCAGACUUUCUGGAACCACAUAUUAAAAUCUCUGCGGUUGAAUCAGCCCUUCCUUUUUCUGCAAAACCUAACCUCAGUACUAUUCAGCAUAUAGAGAACUCCAGGGAUGAGAUCCUUAAAGCCCAGUGUCAAAAGGUGAGUACCUGAUAAUCAUCACCUUAAUUUCACGCUUGUGAAAACCGGCUUUGUCCUAAUUUAUUCUCAGACACGUGGGUCUGUCCUGUGGAGAGGUGCCUUGUUUUAUAGCCUUGUAAAGAGAUUGACCCCAAAUCUGGCAUACAUAUAAAGUAAAGCAAUGAUGUUCUGUAAACAGGCUCAGAAGAAAAUUCCUCAACAGAUAAAUCCGUGAGCUAUUCUGACAUUUCCCAAAUAAGCAUAUAGUCUCCAAGGUGAUUAUUUUGAAUGACAACCCUCCUGUGGGGCAUGAAAUGGAGUAGAUUUGACAGGGCUGCUGAUGAGCCGGAAGAGCACUGAACGUUGAGUCACGAAGCAUCUGUUGGCAUCCCUGCCGGGCAUCCAUCUCCCUGUGAGGCACCUUUGCCUUCUGCUGCUCCCUGAGGGGCAGUGGAAGUCACCUAACCUUUCUGAGCUGCUGCCCGCAUUUGGGACACUGUUGAAUGACACCUGCUGACACGGUUGUGAUAAUCAGGUGAAGCUGACAAUAGAAAACCCCUCAAAACAGUGGGGUGCAGGAACAGAGUGUGGUAACUCAUUCAUGGUUAACCUCCAGGUGAAGUCCCACAGUCCGAAGCCAAGGCCUUCAAGUUCUUAGGAAACAUCAGUGAUGUUAAUAAUUAGUCUUGAAGAGAAAUUCCAGAGUCACCUGUGUGUGUGUGAGCGCCAGUUAUUUCUGUACUCAGCUUGAUAUGGAAAGCCACCAGUAGAAUUCAUUUGUUUAAUUUCACAAGCCCCAGAAGACCAACGGAUGCUGCUUGCUUUGGAAUACUGGAACCAGGUCUCAGCAGUUUUCACCGACUCACUUUAUCCUUGUCUAGAGUUAAUGAGAUCAGAGUAAAUAAACAUACUAAGAACCCAGUGCUUUGCAAACCUUUAUGGUAUUUUAGGAGGCCAGGAAUGAAGUCAUAUUUAUCUUGUGUAGGACUGGGUUGGGUGAAGAGUAGAACAAUAGUGAGUCCAUUCUGUCUGUGGGCUCAAAUGCGUCCUUGGAGAUUUCUCCUGGAGGCAAGAUUGUGCUAUAGCUAGAAGGCAGAAGGGAACCAAGACUUCACUCCUUCCUAGUCCUAGUCCUUCCAGGGCAGCUCCUUUGAGUUUUUGGUCACCACCCAUAUAGCUCACAAGCACAGGGAGCUUGAGGGCCAUUUCCGCUCCUACCAGGGAUAAACGGCUGGUCAAGUUACCAAACCUCUCUUUGCCUUGGAUACCUCAUUGGUAAAGUGGGGAAAAUAAUAGAACCAAUUUCUUUCGUGCAUGUAAAGCAUUUGAAGAAGUGAGAAGCUGGAAAAAUGGCAUUUAAAAGCAUCAGUUUGGAAGAUAGAUUGCCUGGGCUCAAAUUCCAGCUCCACCACUCAUUUGCUCAUAUGGUCUUCCAAGAAUUGGGUAGUUACAGAACUAGCCUCAUAGGUGAAAUGUGCCAGUGUCUGGGUGGAUCUAACAGGGUCAGCACAUAGGAAGUGCUCUAGGGAUGCCUGCUAUUAUAUUAUUACUUGUGUCCAGGAAAAGUCUCAGAUACUGUUUGUAAGGCUAUGGAAAUAAAAAGUUAAAAAUUUCCAACAUUA